GGUUAUUUGCCCUUCCUGCCCCCAGCCUACUGACCUGCCAGCCUCGGCCUCUCCCUGGUGCUGUGCGGAUGCCCUUAACCUUGAUUCGCAGACAAGUAGAAGGCGUGAGGAACUCUCAGUCUCUGUUUCAUCCCGCCCACUUCCGGUCCUUCAGAAUGGAAGUUUGGUUUCUUCCUAUACAAGGUCAUCUUCACCAAGAACUUGUGCACCUGCCUCAAUUCCUGGGAGAGCCAAUCCCUGUCCAUUUACCGUAGUAAGCUUGUGGCAAGAACUCUGUUAAUGUGUGAGAUUCUUAAGGAAAAAGAUGGCAAAUAAGUGGACUCUGGCCCACCAUCUUAACUCUAGCGCAAAGGCAAGCACCACCAGUGAAUCAGUCCUAGUUCUUAUGCCACAGUAUCACAAGCAGCCCCUGUGUUGGAUGGGCAUUAACCUUUCAGGAAAACCUAUUUGCUGUCUCUGAUCAGAAUAAAGUAUGC
rnacentral:lncRNA from 1 species